rnacentral:tRNA from 1 species
GAGACUUUAGUAUAAAUUAGUAUUAUUCAUUUUCAAUGAAUGGGUCGGUAAGUCUUA